AAUAUACUCCCUCCGUUCCAAAUUACUCGUCGUAGAAAUGGAUGUAUCUAGAACUAAAAUACAUCUAGAUACAUCCAUUUCUGCAACGAGUAAUUCGGAACGGAGGGAGUACCUC
rnacentral:pre_miRNA from 1 species